rnacentral:rRNA from 1 species
UAUCUCUGUAGAGUCUGCAUAUCAAUAAGCGGAGGAAAAGCCGGUGAGUUGCAUGAGUACGCGCAGAAUGGCGGCUGCUGGCGAUAUGCAUGGUGAUGCUGGUGACGCACAGCAGUCGCAGGCGCAGCGGGACUUCUGUUUUCGGAUGAAUACGAUGCAGUGCGGCUGGCGCACCGUGCGUUGGCGGAGGAAUAUGGUAUCACUGAGGAGAUGCAGACCUAUUUUGCCCAAGAGGUAUGCGAGGAAAACGGCGUGACUAAGGUCAUUUUCAACGGCAUGACAGGUAUGUCUCAUGUGCUGGGCGAGUACAUCGUGACCAUCGAGGACGGCAAUGCUACGGUUACAUGGUCGCAUGACGGGCAGUCUACCGAGGGGGAGCUUGACGCGCACGCAUGGGGCGCAAAGCAGCUUGAGAUCUUGCUGGAGAUGGCCAAGCAGGAAAAUGGUUUUUCCCGUGGCUAUCACAAUGGCGCAGGAGAUCCGCGCGCAGAUGGAUGGUGAAGAGCUGUACGGUGUCCAUCACCAAGGACGGCAAUGCGAGCAUUGUGAAACUCGAGGGAACGCAGAUUGAUCGGGCGGUUAUCAGUGUCAGCGAGGAGGAAGCCAUUGCGAUUGCCAAGCAGGCGUUUGCGCAUGAAUACGCCCUCACGCAGGAACAGCUUGACCUGAUGCUCUAUGAAAAGGACUACGCGGGCUAUACCUACGCUUAGGAUGUUGACUGAUAUGUAGUCGUA